rnacentral:rRNA from 1 species
GAUGAACGCUGACAGAAUGCUUAACACAUGCAAGUCGAUUCAAGUUACCUUCGGGUAAUGAGGAUGGCGGACGGGUGAGUAACGCGUAAGGAACUUGCCUCUUGGUCUGGGACAACUGUUGGAAACGACAGCUAAUACCGGAUAUUAUGAGAUUCUCGCAUGGGAAACUUAUGAAAGCUAUAUGCGCCAAGAGAGAGCCUUGCGUUCCAUUAGCUAGUUGGUGGGGUAAUGGCCCACCAAGGCGACGAUGGAUAGCCGGCCUGAGAGGGUGAACGGCCACAAGGGGACUGAGACACGGCCCUUACUCCUACGGGAGGCAGCAGUGGGGAAUAUUGGACAAUGGGCCACAAGCCUGAUCCAGCAAUUCUGUGUGCACGAUGAAGGUCUUCGGAUUGUAAAGUGCUUUCAGUUGGGAAGAAGAAAGUGACGGUACCAACAGAAGAAGCGACGGCUAAAUACGUGCCAGCAGCCGCGGUAAUACGUAUGUCGCAAGCGUUAUCCGGAUUUAUUGGGCGUAAAGCGCGUCUAGGCGGAAAAAUAAGUCUGAUGUUAAAAUGCGGGGCCCAACUCCGUAUUGCGUUGGAAACUGUUUUUCUAGAGUACUGGAGAGGUGGGCGGAACUACAAGUGUAGAGGUGAAAUUCGUAGAUAUUUGUAGGAAUGCCGAUGGAGAAGUCAGCUCACUGGACAGAUACUGACGCUGAAGCGCGAAAGCGUGGGGAGCAAACAGGANUAGAUACCCUGGUAGUCCACGCCGUAAACGA